UACGAAGGGGGCUAGCGUUGCUCGGAAUUACUGGGCUUAAAGAGUUCGUAGGCGGCGCAGAAAGUAGGGUGUGAAAGCCCUCGGCUCAACCGAGGAAUUGCGCUCUAAACUACUGUGCUUGAGGGACCUAGAGGUGAGCGGAACUGAUGGUGGAGCGGUGAAAUGCGUUGAUAUCAUCAGGAACACCGGAGGCGAAGGCGGCUCACUGGGGGUCUUCUGACGCUGAGGAACGAAAGCCAGGGGAGCGAACGGG
rnacentral:rRNA from 1 species